rnacentral:tRNA from 1 species
UUAUGUUUAUUUUACAUGAAUAUAAAAUUUUGAAUUUUAAGGAAACAGUGUGAUUCUGUUAACAUAAA